AGUGAACGCUGGCGGCAGGCCUAACACAUGCAAGUCGAACGGCAGCACAGGGGAGCUUGCUCCCUGGGUGGCGAGUGGCGGACGGGUGAGGAACACAUCGGAAUCUACCCAGUCGUGGGGAUAACGUAGGGAAACUUACGCUAAUACCGCAUACGACCUGAGGGUGAAAGCAGGGGACCGCAAGGCCUUGCGCGAUUGGAUGAGCCGAUGUCGGAUUAGCUAGUUGGUGGGGUAAAGGCCCACCAAGGCGACGAUCCGUAGCUGGUCUGAGAGGAUGAUCAGCCACACUGGAACUGAGACACGGUCCAGACUCCUACGGGAGGCAGCAGUGGGGAAUAUUGGACAAUGGGCGCAAGCCUGAUCCAGCCAUGCCGCGUGUGUGAAGAAGGCCUCGGUUGUAAGCACUUUGUGGGUAAGGAAAACCUGUUGGUUAAUACUUGGCGGGAAUGACGGUACCCAAAGAAUAAGCACCGGCUAACUUCGUGCCAGCAGCCGCGGUAAUACGAAGGGUGCAAGCGUUACUCGGAAUUACUGGGCGUAAAGCGUGCGUAGGUGGUUCGUUAAGUCUGCCGUGAAAGCCCGGCUGC
rnacentral:rRNA from 1 species